UGGACACUUAUUUUGAACCAAAAUGAAAAAGCAAAUUGGACACUUAUUGUGAACCGGAGGGAGUAAUUUCAAUUGAAUAUUUGAAAUCAUAUACUUAGCAAAACUUUUCUAAUACCUAGGUAUUCUCCAGCCAACCUAGUCUCUCUUUGAUGAGUUCUCACAAAUGCAUGCUCAAAACUUACUUCUUCCACUUCAUCAUCACCAUCCUACUCUUCUUGAUCACUUCCUCGACAUCCUAUGGCCAAGAAAAUAAACAGUAUACCACUUGCAGUAGCUCCUACAGCUGUGGGAAUAUUCAAAAUAUCGGCUUCCCUUUCUGGGGUGGCGAUCGACCUCAAGAAUGUGGUCUUCCACAAUUCAAGCUUGAAUGUGAAGCCAACCAUGAUCCCGUUAUGAAGAUCGACAAUCAUGAUUUCCGUGUACUUGACAUCAAUGGAGAAAAGCAAACCAUGAGAAUUGCACGUAAAGAUCUUGAAGAAGACAUUUGUCCUGAUAGAUUUGGUAACACUACCUUGAAUGAUGGUCUUUUCCGCUAUGGUCCGGACUUGCGAGUUUUCGUCAUGUUCUAUGCUUGUCCUUUUAAUAUACCUUCAGAAUGGAAAAAGUUCUCCUUUAGCUGCAAUAUCAAUGGAAACUCCAGUCUUGGUUUCUAUCCAGAUGAGUCAUUUUCAUCAUUCUGGGGCCCAAAGUACCCGAAUUGUGAGCAUAAGAUCAUGGUUCCUGUUGUGGUGAAGGAAUUUGAGCAGUUCCAGAACGAAGGAAGUACGAAGAUAUUGGAGCUAUUGAAGCAAGGGUUUGAUGUGGUUUACGACAGAAGCGCAGACUGUAUAGCUUGUGAGAAGACAGGGGGAUUAUGUGGGUCAGUGACAAAUCUUACAGAGCCAACGUGCCUUUGUAGGGACCAAACUUAUUCUUAUAACUGCAGUUAUGUAACAGAUCAAGGCAAUAAAAGAGAUAUCAGAGUGAAGGUUGCCAUAGGUAUAUCUGCUGCUGGGAUAACAACGACAUUGGCCUGCUUUAUUUUUUACUGCUUCGCGAAGAAAUCAUCUGGUACAUGCUUUUUGUUAUCAAAGAAGAGGAGAGAACACCAGAAUAUUGAGUCUUUCCUCCGGCAGUAUGGAUCCCUAGCCCCUAAAGCAUAUAGCUAUUCAGACAUUAAGAAAAUGACAAAUUCACUUCAAGAGAAACUCGGACAAGAGGGUUAUAAAGGUUACGUCCCGUUGCUAUCAAGAUUUUAAAUGAGACUAAAGGGAAUGGGGAAGAAUUUAUCAAUGAAGUUGCAAGCAUCAGUCAAACUUCCCAUGUCAAUGUAGUUACUCUGUUGGGAUUUUGUUUUAAUGGCCGAGAAAGAGCUCUUGUUUAUGAAUUCAUGCCCAAUGGUUCCCUUGAUAAACACAUCUAUGGUGAAGGUUCUAAGUUGGGAUGGGAAAAGUUGUACGAAAUCGCGCUUGGGAUAGGCCGAGGACUGGAGUAUUGCACCGAGGAUGCAUUGCACGAAUAUUGCAUUUUGACAUAAAACCUCACAAUAUCCUUCUGGAUGAGGACUUCUGCCCCAAGAUAUCUGAUUUUGGCCUAGCAAAAUUAUGCCUUCAGAAAGAAAGCAUCAUAUCAAAGUUGGAAGCUAGAGGAACCAUCGGUUACAUUGCUCCAGAAGUAUUCAGUAGAAAUUUCGGAAGUGUCUCGCACAAAUCUGAUGUUUACAGCUACGGAAUGAUGGUUCUUGAAAUGGUUGGAGGAAGAAGGAAUUACAGCGCUGAAAGAAGCAAUCAUAGCGAAAUAUACUUCCCACGCUGGGCUUAUCAACGCCUUGUGACAGAUGAAGACAUAAAUAUACAAGGCAGCAUGACCAAAGAAGAAAAGGAAAUUGCAAAGAAGAUGAUAUUAGUAGGUUUGUGGUGCAUCCAAACUGAUCCCUCGCAGAGACCAUCAAUGAGUAAGGCGAUUGAAAUGCUGGAAGGUAGCUUAGAGGCCAUCCAAUUUCCACCAAAGCCUUUCAUAUGUUCUCCCUCAUGAUCGGAAGGAUCGGCGAUAAUAGCUUUGGGGCAACCAACGAAGCCCUUUAUAUAUUCUUCUACGGGUUCAGCACUUGAUUCUACAGCCUCAGCAAGUGAAGAAUGACACUUGAAUAACAAAUGUUUGGACAAGACUUACUAAGAUUCAUUGGAGAACAAAACAGAGAGAGAUGGAAUGUUGAAAUAGCCAUACACAACCAACUUUGAAAUGUUAAAAACUGAUAUCUAUCUUGCGCAAGCACCUGUAUAUUUCUCAACCUCUUAAGUUUGUACUUCUUGAUAUAAAGGUAAGCUGGUAUUUUUAGGAUAGUUUCAGUCACUA